rnacentral:rRNA from 1 species
GAGACAGCAGCAGCCGCGGUAAAACGAGGGGGGCAAGCGUUGUUCGGAAUUAUUGGGCGUAAAGGGUGCGUAGGCGGUUUGGUAAGUCUUGUGUGAAAUCUUCGGGCUCAACCCGAAGCCUGCACGAGAAACUGCCGGGCUUGAGUAUGGGAGAGGUGAGUGGAAUUUCCGGUGUAGCGGUGAAAUGCGUAGAUAUCGGAAGGAACACCUGUGGCGAAAGCGGCUCACUGGACCAUUACUGACGCUGAUGCACGAAAGCUAGGGGAGCAAACAGGAUUAGAUACCCCCGUAGUCCCUGUCUCUUAUAA